rnacentral:lncRNA from 1 species
UGGAGAAACAAAUAAAUGAAAUGCUGUGGAGAAUACCUGUGGCUCUCAGCUGAGGGAUUGGUGCUGGUGUAGGCAUUGCAUCAUGAUCUAUUGCCAUUUUGCACUUCUUGCUAAGGUAAUCAAAUACCGUCUUGAACUCCUGUACGGUGAUUUCGGGCUCAUUCUUGUAAUAGUCCAUGUGUGAUAUGACCUCCGUGAGAAUAUCAACCUACCAAAACAAGAAUAAGUUAAUUUAUUGAAGUGACUAUUAU